AAGUCAACAGCAAGAUUAAUCCAAAAUCAAUCAAAAUUAUUAAGUAAAUUAAUAGGUUAACAAGGGAUUAACAUGAAUGGGCCAUAGGGUAUGAUCAUUGAGGGAGGUGCGUAUAAAGGAACAAAAAUGCUUAGGCCAUACACCCAAUCUUCCAAACACAUGAUUCGGAUUCAACAUGAACAAUCAAGAUUGCUCUUAUGUUCAAACAACAACACGUUCAGGUCAACACGCGAAAAUUUCACUCACGGCACCGAAAAUCGCUUCACCAAAAUUCGGAAUCCCAACUCGUCAUCAAUGCGCGCAAACAAUCAUAUAAUCACUGAGGGAAGAUUCAAUAACUUGAUUUCACCAUCUCACAAAUAAAUAGGAACGUACUGAAUGUGUGUUCAAAUUCACCAUCAAAUCAAAUUCAUCCACUGUUUAUUCUUACGCAUGAAUAAAGAGAUUGAAGGAAGAAGAAACUCAUCGGCUUCACGUUCUGAUACGACGGCUCCAGGUGAUAAACUCUCCAUUCAUCUUCUUUUGUUAUGCGUUUGUUGCCUUGUUUUGUUCUUCUUCUGCUAUAUGUGUUGGUGCUAUGAGUUUCGUCAUUGAAUUCGCGGUGAGGAUAAUUGAGGUGUGAUGGUGGAUUGAAGGGUGAAUUGUUAUGAAUAAUGAAGCGUUUCUGUUUAGAUGAGAGUCAUUUUCAAUAUGUCGUUGUCUUUUUUCGAGAAUGGUGAAUCAAAAUUAACAAAGUUGAAAAUGGCUUUUUUUUAGGAAUGAGUGCCUUCUCUCUAUGCAAUGCUUUUGUUCUAGUUUUGUUUGAUGUUCUCUUUUUUCUGUUAUUUUAUUAGCCCAUUUUUGAAGUUUUCCCCCCAAUUUUGUUAUGCUUCUGUUAGUUUUCUAUUUUAAGUUCCUUUCGAGUUCUGUUAUUCUUCUGUUGGAAGCCUUUAUAAAGUUUGUUGAGAAUUUGGUUAUAGGUUCUGAAAAGUUGUUUGAGGUUGUUGAGAAUUGUUGGAGGGUUAGUAAAAAUGGUUAGGAGUUUGUUUUGGUUUCAGUUAGAGUGAGGUAUCAAUUUAUGGUUAGUUAUGUAGGAGGUUAGUUACAAGUGGUUAGUGAAAAAUGAAGUGUCAAGGUAGUUGUGUAAGAAGUGAAGUUGAUUAGAAGAUUAGAAGAGAUAUAUGAAAUUCUCUUAGUUAUAAGUGAAUGUCAAAUUAUGUAGGGUUCUUAAAUGACUUUUGUUGUGAAAUUAGUUUUGAAUUAGCUUGCUGAAAGCUGCUUGAAUUCAUUGAUUUUCUUGUGAUCUUGGAAUUUUGCAUGAAGUAUUCAUAUUCAUGGAGCUUGUAAUAUGCUUGCUUAGGGACUGUGGCUUGUGUAAGACCCCAAUUUUGACCCCUAAGAUCCCUCAUGCCAUCUCAUAGCUUUGCAUUGGCAUUGGGAUCACACAUUGGUAUUCUCCUCACCUAUCAUUCAUUGGAUUUGCAUUGGGAGAGAUCACAAAGCAUAUAUGACUGUAUCAUACUUUAUUUUCUUUGUUUACUAACCAAAAUACAAAAAUAUGUCUAAUAUAGCUUUGUUUCUUUUAUAGGUAUUGUGUGUGUCCAUAUGUGUCCCACCAAGCCCACAACUAGGGUUUGAGACCCUUAAUGCAAGAUAUCAAGCAAGCAAAGGUCCACAUUGGUUCUAAACAUCAUAUAUGAAUUCCCGUGUUCUUUAUUUGUCAUUUUGAUCAAGAGUUUGAAGCUUGUUUGUCAAGGAAUCCCUAAUUCAUCUGGGUAUCUUGUGUGUCUUCCUCAACAUGUUUCUUCAACAGUUGGUCAAAGAUAUCAAGGGAUACUUCAUUUUGCAUCAUCAUAAUCAUAUGUGAUCCUCUAUGAAACCCUAAUAGCAAAGGAACUUCAAGUGUGCAAGUUGAUUCAAGGAAGUUGACCAGAAAAGUCAACUCGUCAAAUCUAGGGUUUCCUAGACCCUAUCUCCUACAAUUUAUGUCAUAUGAAAAUGAUUCCAAGAGAAAAGCUACUCUUUAUGACAUUCCAAACAUCUUUCAUGUUGACCUCAAGAGCUAAUUUUGCAUGAAAAGUCAUUUUUAUGGUGAAAGAUUAUAGGUCAUUUUGAUUGUGCCCUAGAUAGAAGGUCAACUUCCAAGAGUCAUAACUUCCUCAUUUUUUAUGAUAUGAAGAUGAUUAAAGUUUCAUGAUUAAUUUAAAGAUGUCUUCUUAAACUUUUCUUCUUUGAGAAAUAUCAAAUUCUACUUGCAAAGUCAUGUACCAUGAGAAAACAUUAUAGGUCCACUUUGGUCCUUAUCAUUGAACAAUCAAGUUUCCUCAACUUCUAAAAUUCAUAACUCCAUCAUCCAAAAUCCAAAUGGUUCCAAAUUUGUGAUCAAAUUGAAGGUAAAUGAAAUAGAUACAACCUUGUAGAAG
rnacentral:lncRNA from 1 species